rnacentral:rRNA from 11 species
CUCAACAGUAGUGGCUUAAAUACCCCAAAGGCACCAGAUCCCACAUGAUCUUGGAAGAUAAGCAGGAUCAGCCCUGGUGAGUAUUUGGACAGAAGACCACCAACAAAUACCAGGAGGUGUUGGAU